UACGGGGGGGGGCAAGCGUUGUUCGGAAUUACUGGGCGUAAAGGGCUCGUAGGCGGCCAACUAAGUCAGACGUGAAAUCCCUCGGCUUAACCGGGGAACUGCGUCUGAUACUGGAUGGCUUGAAUCCGGGAGAGGGAUGCGGAAUUCCAGGUGUAGCGGUGAAAUGCGUAGAUAUCUGGAGGAACACCGGUGGCGAAGGCGGCAUCCUGGACCGGCAUUGACGCUGAGGAGCGAAAGCCAGGGGGAGCAAACGGG
rnacentral:rRNA from 1 species